GACGAACGCUGGCGGCGUGCUUAACACAUGCAAGUCGAACGAUGAAGCCGGAGCUUGCUCUGGUGAAUUAGUGGCGAACGGGUGAGUAACACGUGAGUAACCUGCCCUUGACUCUGGGAUAACUGCGGGAAACUGUAGCUAAUACCGGAUACGACCCUCGGAGGCAUCUCCUGGGGGUGGAAAGAAUUUCGGUCAAGGAUGGACUCGCGGCCUAUCAGCUAGUUGGUGAGGUAAAGGCUCACCAAGGCGACGACGGGUAGCCGGCCUGAGAGGGUGACCGGCCAAGCUGGGACUGAGACACGGCCCGAACUCCUACGGGGGGCAGCAGUGGGGAAUAUUGCACAAUGGGCGCAAGCCUGAUGCAGCAACGCCGCGUGAGGGACGACGGCCUUCGGGUUGUAAACCUCUUUUAGCAGGGAAGAAGCGAAAGUGACGGUACCUGCAGAAAAAGCACCGGCUAACUACGUGCCAGCAGCCGCCGUAA
rnacentral:rRNA from 1 species